AGAGUUUGAUCCUGGCUCAGGAUGAACGCUAGCUACAGGCUUAACACAUGCAAGUCGAGGGGCAGCAUGAUUGAAGCUUGCUUCAAUCGAUGGCGACCGGCGCACGGGUGAGUAACACGUAUCCAACCUGCCGAUAACUCGGGGAUAGCCUUUCGAAAGAAAGAUUAAUACCCGAUAGCAUAGUAUUUCCGCAUGGUUUCACUAUUAAAGAAUUUCGGUUAUCGAUGGGGAUGCGUUCCAUUAGAUAGUUGGCGGGGUAACGGCCCACCAAGUCAACGAUGGAUAGGGGUUCUGAGAGGAAGGUCCCCCACAUUGGAACUGAGACACGGUCCAAACUCCUACGGGAGGCAGCAGUGAGGAAUAUUGGUCAAUGGACGAGAGUCUGAACCAGCCAAGUAGCGUGAAGGAUGACUGCCCUAUGGGUUGUAAACUUCUUUUAUACGGGAAUAAAGUGGAGUAUGCAUACUCCUUUGUAUGUACCGUAUGAAUAAGGAUCGGCUAACUCCGUGCCAGCAGCCGCGGUAAUACGGAGGAUCCGAGCGUUAUCCGGAUUUAUUGGGUUUAAAGGGAGCGUAGGCGGGUGCUUAAGUCAGUUGUGAAAGUUUGCGGCUCAACCGUAAAAUUGCAGUUGAUACUGGGCGCCUUGAGUGCAGCAUAGGUAGGCGGAAUUCGUGGUGUAGCGGUGAAAUGCUUAGAUAUCACGAAGAACUCCGAUUGCGAAGGCAGCUUACUGGACUGUAACUGACGCUGAUGCUCGAAAGUGUGGGUAUCAAACCAGGAUUAGAUACCCUGGUAGUCCACACAGUAAACGAUGAAUACUCGCUGUGGGCGAUACACAGUCAGCGGCCAAGCGAAAGCUUUAAGUAUUCCACCUGGGGAGUACGCCGGCAACGGUGAAACUUCAAAGGAAUUGGCGGGGGCCCGCACAAGCGGAGGAACAGGUGGUUUAAUUCGAUGAUACGCGAGGAACCUUACCCGGGCUUAAAUUGCAGCGGAAUGUAGUGGAAACAUUACAGCCUUCGGGCCGCUGUGAAGGUGCUGCAUGGUUGUCGUCAGCUCGUGCCGUGAGGUGUCGGCUUAAGUGCUAUAACGAGCGCAACCCUUGCCACUAGUUACUAACAGGUAAAGCUGAGGACUCUGGUGGGACUGCCAGCGUAAGCUGCGAGGAAGGCGGGGAUGACGUCAAAUCAGCACGGCCCUUACAUCCGGGGCGACACACGUGUUACAAUGGCGUGGACAAAGGGAAGCCACCUGGCGACAGGGAGCGAAUCCCCAAACCACGUCUCAGUUCGGAUCGGAGUCUGCAACCCGACUCCGUGAAGCUGGAUUCGCUAGUAAUCGCGCAUCAGCCAUGGCGCGGUGAAUACGUUCCCGGGCCUUGCACUCACCGCCCGUCAAG
rnacentral:rRNA from 1 species